rnacentral:rRNA from 1 species
AAAUUGAAGAGUUUGAUCAUGGCUCAGAUUGAACGCUGGCGGCAGGCCUAACACAUGCAAGUCGAGCGGUAGCACAGAGAGCUUGCUCUCGGGUGACGAGCGGCGGACGGGUGAGUAAUGUCUGGGAAACUGCCUGAUGGAGGGGGAUAACUACUGGAAACGGUAGCUAAUACCGCAUAACGUCGCAAGACCAAAGUGGGGGACCUUCGGGCCUCAUGCCAUCAGAUGUGCCCAGAUGGGAUUAGCUAGUAGGUGGGGUAACGGCUCACCUAGGCGACGAUCCCUAGCUGGUCUGAGAGGAUGACCAGCCACACUGGAACUGAGACACGGUCCAGACUCCUACGGGAGGCAGCAGUGGGGAAUAUUGCACAAUGGGCGCAAGCCUGAUGCAGCCAUGCCGCGUGUGUGAAGAAGGCCUUCGGGUUGUAAAGCACUUUCAGCGGGGAGGAAGGCGUUAAGGUUAAUAACCUUGGCGAUUGACGUUACCCGCAGAAGAAGCACCGGCUAACUCCGUGCCAGCAGCCGCGGUAAUACGGAGGGUGCAAGCGUUAAUCGGAAUUACUGGGCGUAAAGCGCACGCAGGCGGUCUGUCAAGUCGGAUGUGAAAUCCCCGGGCUCAACCUGGGAACUGCAUUCGAAACUGGCAGGCUAGAGUCUUGUAGAGGGGGGUAGAAUUCCAGGUGUAGCGGUGAAAUGCGUAGAGAUCUGGAGGAAUACCGGUGGCGAAGGCGGCCCCCUGGACAAAGACUGACGCUCAGGUGCGAAAGCGUGGGGAGCAAACAGGAUUAGAUACCCUGGUAGUCCACGCCGUAAACGAUGUCGAUUUGGAGGUUGUGCCCUUGAGGCGUGGCUUCCGGAGCUAACGCGUUAAAUCGACCGCCUGGGGAGUACGGCCGCAAGGUUAAAACUCAAAUGAAUUGACGGGGGGCCCGCACAAGCGGUGGAGCAUGUGGUUUAAUUCGAUGCAACGCGAAGAACCUUACCUGGUCUUGACAUCCACAGAACUUUCCAGAGAUGGAUUGGUGCCUUCGGGAACUGUGAGACAGGUGCUGCAUGGCUGUCGUCAGCUCGUGUUGUGAAAUGUUGGGUUAAGUCCCGCAACGAGCGCAACCCUUAUCCUUUGUUGCCAGCGGUCCGGCCGGGAACUCAAAGGAGACUGCCAGUGAUAAACUGGAGGAAGGUGGGGAUGACGUCAAGUCAUCAUGGCCCUUACGACCAGGGCUACACACGUGCUACAAUGGCAUAUACAAAGAGAAGCGACCUCGCGAGAGCAAGCGGACCUCAUAAAGUAUGUCGUAGUCCGGAUUGGAGUCUGCAACUCGACUCCAUGAAGUCGGAAUCGCUAGUAAUCGUAGAUCAGAAUGCUACGGUGAAUACGUUCCCGGGCCUUGUACACACCGCCCGUCACACCAUGGGAGUGGGUUGCAAAAGAAGUAGGUAGCUUAACCUUCGGGAGGGCGCUUACCACUUUGUGAUUCAUGACUGGGGUGAAGUCGUAACAAGGUAACCGUAGGGGAACCUGCGGUUGGAUCACCUCCUUACCUUAAAGAA